GGCGAGUGGCGAACGGCUGAGUAACGCGUAGGAACGUACCCCAAAGUGAGGGAUAAGCCCGAGAAAUCGGGUCUAAUACCGCAUAUGAUCUUCGGAUUAAAGCAUUUAUGCGCUUUGGGAACGGCCUGCGUCGGAUUAGGUUGUUGGUGAGGUAAUGGCUCACCAAGCCGACGAUCCGUAACUGGUCUGAGAGGAUGAUCAGUCAGACUGGAACUGAGACACGGUCCAGACUCC
rnacentral:rRNA from 1 species